rnacentral:rRNA from 1 species
AGACCCAAGACAACAUUAACGGCGUAAAGCACGACUAGACUAAGUUUGACCUGUUAGAAAUGAGACCAAACUGGGCUGUAAAAAGCCAUAAGCUACACCAAAUACCCGUUCUAACACCAAAACACUCCGACUCGUGAAAGCCGAGACACAAACUAAGAUAGAUACCCCACUAUGCCCAGCUGUAACCAAAUAAUUAAAUAACAAAUUAUUCGCCAAAUAACUACGAGCAAAAACUUAAAAUUUAAAAGACUUGACGGUACUUCACACCAACCCAGAGGAGCCUGUCUAAUAACCGAUAAUCCACGAUUAACCCAACCCCGCCUAGCCCAACAGUCUAUAUACCGCCGUCGCCAGCUUACCUUGUGAAAGAAAUAAAGUAACCAUAAAAAUAUCACAUUAAUACGACAGGUCGAGGUGUAACUAAUGACGGGGUUAAGAUGGGGUACAUUUUCUAACUCAGAAGAUACGGAUAAGCUAUGAAAAUAAAAACUGAAGGAGGAUUUACCAGUAAGAUAAGAACAUAAUACUUAACUGAAGAUAAUGCAAUGAAGUGCGCACACACCGCCCGUCAUCCCUGUAAACCACACACAACAUCCAUAAUACUCCCAACACUUUAAAACAGGGGAAGUCGAAAC